GGCUUUGUGCAGUGGCGAUAUCGUAGCCAGUGAGGUUUAUCCGAGGUGCGAUUAUUGCUAAUUGAAAGAAAAAUUAAUUUCUUGGCUACUGCUUCCAUGAGCAUUGAUUAUGGAUUCAAGCAAAAUGAAAUCCUAGGA
rnacentral:snRNA from 1 species